rnacentral:misc_RNA from 1 species
AACCUAGCACACCUGCGGUGUGUACCUGCGGAAGGAUCAUUAUUAGAUAGUUACUCCGGUAACUUUAAUAUUCCUAACACCUGUGCAUUUUGUCGCUCCGGCGAUAUCAUACAAACAUCAGUGUAAUGAAUGUAAGUUAUUAUAACAAAUACAACUUUUAGCAACGGAUCU